AAAUAGCUUGUUGGGCUGUUGCCCGCUCCAACGUGCUCCCAACCACACCAGUCCUCCACGGACAACCUGCCAUGUGGGCCAUCACGACUUGAGAUCCCACAUGUCAGUGACUGCAACCCCUCCCAAAGUGAACUGAACCAGACGAUCCAGCAAAGUCCAGCGAGUACUGCACUCCACAACCGCCUUCCCCUCGCCGCGCCUCCACCAGCUACGCCGUCACCGUCACGCGAGCUCACGCGCCGGGGGGCUCGGAAGCACAACCACCACGCCGACGCCACGCGGCGAGCCUGUCUCUCGUCCGGGGAUUCUAGCGCCGGGUAGUCUCAGCGGGGCCACUUGGAGCAGGCGGCAUCCCCUCGGUACUGCUGCUGGUUUGGUGAGCGCGGGGAGCCGCGGGAUGGGAGAUCUGGUGGCGCCGCCGCCGGCGGCGGCGGCUUAGCGUGAUGGUGGCCCCGGGAAGUAGCCGGGGCGGCCCGUCGCGCGUAGCGGCGCGGGGCGGCGUUGCCGCGCCCGGGAGCCCGCGAGCCUCUUCUGCGGCGACCGCGUUCGCGGCGCUCCGGCGCAGGUGGCGGUGGGCGGCGCCCUCGGGCGCGUCGGCGCUGGAGCGCGCGGCCCGCGCGUUCCUCCUGGCCUCCGCGGCGCUCGUGCUCGCCUGCGCGCUCUACCUCUACGUGUUCCGCUACGUCGGCCGGGGAGGUCGCGCUCGCGCCUUCGCCGCCGCGGGCUUCGUCGGGGACGACGCCGGCCUGGGCCUGGGCCUUGGCGGCGGGGCGUGCGACGUGUUCGACGGCGCCUGGGUGCCCGACGACACCGGCCGACACCCGCUCUACAACAGCUCCGAGUGCCCGUUCGCGGAGCGCGGGUUCGACUGCCUCGCCAACGGGCGGAACGACACUGGCUACCUCAAGUGGCGGUGGAAGCCGCGCCGGUGCGACGUGCCGCGGUUCGCGGCCCGCACCGCGCUGGAGCGGCUCCGCGGGAAGCGGGUGGUGUUCGUGGGGGACUCCAUGAGCCGCACACAGUGGGAAUCCUUCAUCUGCAUGCUCAUGGCCGGCGUGGAUGAUCCCAGGACGGUCUUCGAGGUGAACGGGAACGAGAUCACCAAGACGAUACGGCACCUGGCGGUCAGGUUCGCGUCUCACGGCCUCACCGUGGAGUUCUUCCGGUCCGUGUUCCUCGUGCAGGAGCAUCCUGCCCCACGGCAUGCCCCCAAGAGGGUCAAAUCCACAUUGAGGCUGGACAGGAUGGAUAAUUUCAGCCGGAAAUGGGUGAAUUCGGACGUACUGAUUUUCAACACUGGGCAUUGGUGGACGGCGACCAAAUUGUUUGAUAUGGGUUGCUAUUUUCAGGCUGGACGUUCUCUUAAAUUAGGUACAUCUAUCGAUGCUGGUUUCAGGAUGGCACUGGAGACCUGGGCCUCAUGGGUACAAAAAAGAGUUGAUUUAAACCGAACGCAUGUCUUCUUUCGCACAUAUGAGCCAUCUCAUUGGGGGGACACAAGCCAAAAGGUGUGUGAGGUAACAGAGCAGCCUUCAUCAGAGGCCAAAGGAAAUGAUAAGAGUGAAUUUGGGGCUAUACUUGCUGAUGUUGUAACCAACAUGAAAGUUCCUAUCACAGUACUAAAUGUAACUUUAAUGGGAGCGUUCCGAAGUGAUGCACAUGUUGGCACUUGGAGUUAUCCUCCCACUAUACUUGAUUGCAGCCAUUGGUGUCUUCCUGGAGUCCCUGAUGCUUGGAACGAACUUAUCUUUUCGUACCUUUUGACAAAUGCUCUGCUGAACCAUGGUGCCCAUGGAAUGCCACGCAUAGCAUGAAUAGUGAGAUUUCCCAUCAGAAAUAGUGAAAUUCAAUGUUACUUGAAGUGGCGUUCAAAGCUGCACUGAGAAGUUAAUUUAGGCUAUGUUAGUUGAUCCCUGACAACCUUUAGUAUAGCGGUCAUCUGGAAAGAUUAAGCAGCUACUUACUGAUGCUACCUUGGAAGGCCUCAAGGUUGGCGAAACAUGGAGGGCUGAAUUUUAUGGCCGCAUGCUCAAUCUACCCCCACUUUUUUAUUGUGAUAUUUGACAUUACCUGGUAUACUAGAGAAUUAACAAACAUCCGGGACAAGGCAGCUGCAUCUGCGGUGGUUCACUGGACUUCUGCAUUCUUUUCUUCUUUUUGACUUGUAUACACGGUGCUGCAUCGAGAGUUGUAGAUUUUACAUCACUUCUUUAAUUCUUCUGGUUGGUAAGGAUUAGAAAGCCUUGACAUUCGUUCUCUCAGCCCUAUUUACUAACGGUUCAUUUUAUAUGUCGUUAAAAAUUGAGUUUGUAUUGUAAUCUGUAUGUACAAACAUUACAGUACUUGAUACAUUGUCAGAAAGUGCGCGCUCUCAGUUGUAUUGGCAAGUUUUGAAUGUA